UCCCUGGUGGCUCAGUCGGUAGAGUCUGCCCUCAAUGCAGGAGACCCAGGUUCGAUCCCUGGGUCGGGAA
rnacentral:tRNA from 1 species